UACGUAGGGUGCGAGCGUUGUCCGGAAUUAUUGGGCGUAAAGGGCUCGUAGGCGGUUUGUCGCGUCGGGAGUGAAAUCCACUGGCUUAACUGGUGGCUUGCUUUCGAUACGGGCAGACUAGAGUUCGGUAGGGGAGUCUGGAAUUCCUGGUGUAGCGGUGAGAUGCGCAGAUAUCAGGAAGAACACCUAUGGCGAAGGCAGCUCUCUGGGACGGUACUGACGCUGAGACGCGAAAGCGUGGGGAGCGAACAGG
rnacentral:rRNA from 1 species